UUUUGUGGUUAUUUAUCAUGUGUAGGGGUCUAGUAGUCAACAUCCUGGCCAGAGGAAUAGCUCUGAGCUUGCUUCUGGACUUUUAAGUCGAUGGCUGUCUUUUCAUCAUCAUGGUGGAGUACAUGAUGAGAAAUCUAUUGCUCAUCACACUGUGAACUUGCUUACAUCAACAAUUAAAGUAGAUACUGACCAAUCAGAUUUGAGGUUUUGCUUCCGGUUCAUUUCACCAACAAAGAACUAUACUUUGCAGGCUUACAACCAUUUGUGACCCUUUUUCAUUGGGAUCUUCCCCAAGCUUUGCAAGAUGAAUACGGUGGCUUCUUAAAUCCACGCAUUAUAAAUGAUUUUCAAGACUACGCGGAACUUUGUUUUAAGGAAUUUGGAGAUAGGG